ensembl:lincRNA
UGCACUGGCACAGGGGCAGGCUCACAGUCAGGGUCCAGGGGUUCAGGGCUGGUCCUGGUGUUUCGCUCUGUUCCAGCUCUCUGAGGAGGCCCUUGCUCUUCCAGGUCACUUUCAGGUCCUCGGUGGCCCCUGGAGCCCUGCACUGCAGGGUUACGUUACACAAGCCUGGUGUGAUAGAGAGUAACUUGGCCAGGAUUCCAGGAUGAGGCACAGGCUCUGGAGAAGAAGGGGACGAAUGAGUGGAAUCUCACAUGUAUGGAAUGCCAAAAGCCACUAACAUGUGAAAAAGGGACCAUGCCACUCACUGAGGAAGAGACUGAUGAAUACCAGGAGCCCAGAGGCCCAGCAGAAGACCCGGUUCUUGGAGUGGGACCCCAUGGCACGCUGCCCGCUGGCCUGUUCAGCUGCAGCAGAAACAGAAGAGAGGACGAGGUGCCUGCAGCUCUGCAGCCAGUGCUUCUGGAGCACAUGGCUCUGCCUUGAAGGAUUCUGGGAACUACAUUCAUCUGAAGGGGACCCAAGGAGGUUCUGUCUUGUUUAGUGUGACUGAGAAACUCAGAGUAGAUGUAGGAGCCAAGCCCAUGGAGGUUGCAUGGGGUUUGGGCACUCCGUCAACUCAUGCACUGAUGCUGGAAGUCCACAGAAGGGCCGACUCUCCAACCUGGUUGAGCCUCCAGGACAAGUUCAAGCAGAGGGUCCGUGUGCCCAGCAUGUUGUCUCUGAGGAUCGAGAACCUGACCCCUGAAGACAGUGGGCAGUAUGUGGCCAUGAUCUACUUAACUGAGGGACAGCUAUCUGGCCAGGUUUUCUACCUGACUGUGGAACAAGUUCACACAAACAGGACAUGGCUAGCCUGCUGCCAGGCAUCCUAGCUGGUCCUGGGAACUGAGCUGUAUGUUUUGAAGACAUGCUAGAAGAAGAGGAAGAGGAAGAGGAAGAAGAAGGAGGAGGAGGAAGAAGAGGAGGAGGAGGAGGAAAAGAAGGAGGAAAUAAAAAGGGGUAAGUUGCAUUUCUCCUGACAUGCCCAGA